rnacentral:sRNA from 1 species
CCUUUGGAGUGUUAUAUCAAACGAAAGUAGCAUAGGCAAAAUCGGACACGAUGAACAAGGAA